rnacentral:rRNA from 1 species
GACGGGGGGGGCAAGUGUUCUUCGGAAUGACUGGGCGUAAAGGGCACGUAGGCGGUGAAUCGGGUUGAAAGUGAAAGUCGCCAAAAAGUGGCGGAAUGCUCUCGAAACCAAUUCACUUGAGUGAGACAGAGGAGAGUGGAAUUCCGAGUGUAGAGGUGAAAUUCGUAGAUAUUCGGAAGAACACCAGUGGCGAAGGCGGCUCACUGGACUGGUAUUGACGCUGAGGUGCGAAAGCGUGGGGAGCAAACAGG